AUACGUAGGGGGCGAGCGUUGUCCGGAAUGAUUGGGCGUAAAGGGCGCGUAGGCGGCCCGGUAAGUCUGGAGUGAAAGUCCUGUUUUUAAGAUGGGAAUUGCUUUGGAUACUGUCGGGCUUGAGUGCAGGAGAGGUAAGUGGAAUUCCCAGUGUAGCGGUGAAAUGCGUAGAGAUUAGGAGGAACACCAGGGGCGAAGGCGGCUUUCUGGACUGAAACUGACGCUGAGGUACGAAAGCGUGGGGAGCAAACAGGAUUAGAUACCCUGGUAGUCCACGCCGUAAACGAUGAGCACUAGGUGUCGGGCUCGCGAGAGUUCGGUGCCGUAGUUAACGCAUUAAGUGCUCCGCCUGGGGAGUACGCACGCAAGUGUGAAACUCAAAGGAAUUGACGGGG
rnacentral:rRNA from 1 species